UCAAUUCUUCUGCCAAGUAUCAGUUUGCUCAUAGAAAGGCAGUAUUUUGGAAAGAAAGAAAAAAGUUCAGAAAUUCAUGAUUUCUUUAAGGCUAAGCCUACUUUGUAAAGUCACAUAUUUCUCACUGGUAUUCAGAUUUCAUUACAUUCAAGGACCCUGAUAAUUCAUUUGAGACUUGAGAAUUGAUACAUAUUUCAAAUAUUUCCCUACUACAGAGAAAACAUGUCACAAAUUCAACAUCGCAUUGGCAAUAAUCAGCUGAAAGUAUCAAACAUGACUCUUCCAGGUUUGAGACCAUACAAAUAAAAUUACAUUUUUAAAAGGCAUAAUAUCAGCAGGAAACAUAAACCUCAUUUAGUCACAAGCUUAGAAUUUAUUUCCUUAGGACCAAAAUUUUAUGACUUACUCAGCUCCAAUAUGUCCUUGAAGGUGAAGAUUGCAAAGUAGACCAUCACCCCUAAUAGCAAGUCACUUAUUUGUUUUAUCGAUAUAGCUGACUGUCUAAAGCAGACCUAAUUUACAGGCAGACCCAAGAUUACUGUGCAUUUUUCAGAAUGCUGCCCACAGACUAUAGUCACAAAAUAUUAAGUAUUGAGUCUAACUUGCUCCCCCCUAUUCAAGAAAGUAUUCACUAGGUCUUUCUCACAUACAAAGACUAGAGGUCCAACUUCAGAGCUAUACCUGAAGAGGUAUUCAUACUAUGAAACGGAGCAAAAGUGAUUUCACCUGUCUCAUAGAUUUUUUUUCCCCUGUGAAAAUGUAGUUCUCCCUCUUGAAAAACUAAGUCUGAACUUUCAAAAUAAUUUAUUGUGAUCAGGCAAACCAUGGCACGUAAACACUUCAAUUCCAUAAACAAGGAUUAAACACCUCAUCUCACCAGAUAAAAUCAUGGAUACAAACAGGGGAAGACAGAGCUACGUAAGUAACUGUGAAGCAAAAAUGUUUUAAAUGCUUUUUGAAUUUAUACAAAUAAAUUUGAAUUUAUAAAAGCAUUUAUCGUUCUGAGAACC
rnacentral:lncRNA from 1 species